AUACGUAGGUGGCAAGCGUUAUCCGGAUUUAUUGGGCGUAAAGCGAGCGCAGGCGGUUGCUUAGGUCUGAUGUGAAAGCCUUCGGCUUAACCGAAGAAGGGCAUCGGAAACCGGGCGACUUGAGUGCAGAAGAGGACAGUGGAACUCCAUGUGUAGCGGUGGAAUGCGUAGAUAUAUGGAAGAACACCAGUGGCGAAGGCGGCUGUCUGGUCUGCAACUGACGCUGAGGCUCGAAAGCAUGGGUAGCGAACAGGAUUAGAUACCCUGGUAGUCCAUGCCGUAAACGAUGAGUGCUAGGUGUUGGAGGGUUUCCGCCCUUCAGUGCCGGAGCUAACGCAUUAAGCACUCCGCCUGGGGAGUACGACCGCAAGGUUGAA
rnacentral:rRNA from 1 species